rnacentral:ncRNA from 2 species
UUCUUUGGACGUGGUAGAUUUGUAACCGGAUUGCGGGCCACGCAAAAUAUCCCGCUAAAGAGGUCAGGAUGUGAAGGAC